ACAUCAUGCUGACAGGCUGCACCUGAGCGUAAUUGGAAUUGCCGGCUUCUUAAGACCAGCACUCAGACUCACACCUCGCCAGAUCGUCUGCAAACCUUUAGGACCUCCGGACGUUGUCAAGCCGCUGCCGUAACCUGUUAGGAUUUCAGCGCUGGUCUGUUUACAGUUUCUCCAUGCCUACCUGCCUGCCUCCUUGCCCAGUGCUCAGGAUAAUCAUCUCCCCUCACCCGGACCACCUCCCCUCUAAGCUUUGCCUCCGCCUGCGCAUGAGAGUUCGUGCACUGACAGAUUUCCCAGUGUCGGGUUCUCCAUUCCAUCCACGACAGCCCC
ensembl:lncRNA